GGAGGAAAGCAGGGGAUCGCAAGACCUUACGCUUUUGGAGCGGCCGAUGUCUGAUUAGCUUGUUGGUGAGGUAAAGGCUUACCAAGGCUUCGAUCAGUAGCUGGUCUGAGAGGACGACCAGCCACACUGGGACUGAGACACGGCCCAGACUCCUACGGGAGGCAGCAGUGGGGAAUUUUGGACAAUGGGGGAAACCCUGAUCCAGCCAUGCCGCGUGAGUGAAGAAGGCCUUCGGGUUGUAAAGCUCUUUCAGCCGGAACGAAACGGUUACGAUUAAUACCUGUAACUACUGACGGUACCGGAAGAAGAAGCACCGGCUAACUACGUGCCAGCAGCCGCGGUAAUACGUAGGGUGCGAGCGUUAAUCGGAAUUAUUGGGCGUAAAGCGUGCGCAGGUGGUUUUGUAAGUCAGAUGUGAAAUCCCCGGGC
rnacentral:rRNA from 1 species